rnacentral:rRNA from 1 species
GUCGAACGAGAGACCUUCGGGUCUCUAGUGGCGAACGGGUGAGUAACACGUAGGGAACCUGCCCGCGCACCGGGAAUACGCUCUGGAAACGGAGAACAAAUCCCGAUGUACAGGAAGGAGGCAUCUUCUUUCUGUGAAACAUCCUUUAGGGGAUGGGGCGCGGAUGGACCUGCGGUGCAUUAGUUGGUUGGCGGGGUAAAGGCCCACCAAGACGAUGAUGCAUAGCCGGCCUGAGAGGGCGGACGGCCACAUUGGGACUGAGACACGGCCCAGACUCCUGCGGGAGGCAGCAGUAGGGAAUUUUCGUCAAUGGGCGCAAGCCUGAACGAGCGAUGCCGCGUGAGUGAAGAAGGCCUUCGGGUCGUAAAGCUCUGUUGCGGGGGAAAAAAGGCAGCAUCAGGAAAUGGGUGCUGACUGAUGGUGCCCCGCCAGAAAGUCACGGCUAACUACGUGCCAGCAGCCGCGGUAAUACGUAGGUGGCGAGCGUUAUCCGGAAUGAUUGGGCGUAAAGGGUGCGCAGGCGGUCCUGCAAGUCUGGAGUGAAACGCAUGAGCUCAACUCAUGCAUGGCUUUGGAAACUGGAGGACUGGAGAGCAGGAGAGGGCGGUGGAACUCCAUGUGUAGCGGUAAAAUGCGUAGAUAUAUGGAAGAACACCAGUGGCGAAGGCGGCCGCCUGGCCUGUUGCUGACGCUGAGGCACGAAAGCGUGGGGAGCAAAUAGGAUUAGAUACCCUAGUAGUCCACGCCGUAAACGAUGAGGACCAAGUGUUGGGGGUGAAACCUCAGUGCUGAAGUUAACGCAGUGAGUCCUCCGCCUGGGGAGUAUGCACGCAAGUGUGAAAC